rnacentral:snoRNA from 1 species
AACAACAGUGAUGAUUCAUACAGACCUGUAAUGAUUUGCGAGCAUGAUCGCAAGCAAUAAUGAACAUCUAAGGGACUGAGUUGUU